UGGGUCAAUUUAUUGUAGAGCUCAGCAGGAUGUUUUUCUUAUUGGGAUAGCCGCACUAACCAGAAUACGCUACCAUACGACGUCCACUACACGGAGUUAGUUUGUAGCUAUAAGAACCCACAUCUACCUCCCCAAUAUACCAAUAUGGUGUUGAGUGCUUCUGAUGGUAACUUCGAGCACGCUUGCCAAGAAGCGGCUUAUCGGAUGAUGGCAAGUCUUUAGAGAAGACACCAUGUAGAUCUUCGCAUCACGGAGUACCGCUAUCAUCCUUGUCUAAACUUGCACACUAGUAUAGUACAUGACAUACAUAAAUAUUGCUAGAUGUCUAUCAUAUGAAUACAUCAUGUAUCUCUAGCUAACACAAAAACUUGUUAAGAUUAGUGCUAACACAUUGCCGGUUGUCUCGUCUCAUUACAACACAUGCACAUACCAAUUCAACAGUUAACUUGGCUUACUCCAAUAUCUAAUCUAUAUCUAAUCUAUGUAACAGUUUUAGGAA
rnacentral:lncRNA from 1 species